rnacentral:tRNA from 1 species
GGAGAUGUGGCUCAGUUGGUAGUGUGCUGGCCUAUUGCGCACAGAGUCCUAGGUUUGAUUCCUAGCGCCUGCU